UUUUCGGAGAGUUUGAUCCUGGCUCAGGACGAACGCUGGCGGCGUGCCUAAUACAUGCAAGUCGAGCGAACAGAAGGGAGCUUGCUCCCGGAUGUUAGCGGCGGACGGGUGAGUAACACGUGGGUAACCUGCCUGUAAGACUGGGAUAACUCCGGGAAACCGGAGCUAAUACCGGAUAGUUCCUUGAACCGCAUGGUUCAAGGAUGAAAGACGGUUUCGGCUGUCACUUACAGAUGGACCCGCGGCGCAUUAGCUAGUUGGUGGGGUAAUGGCUCACCAAGGCGACGAUGCGUAGCCGACCUGAGAGGGUGAUCGGCCACACUGGGACUGAGACACGGCCCAGACUCCUACGGGAGGCAGCAGUAGGGAAUCUUCCGCAAUGGACGAAAGUCUGACGGAGCAACGCCGCGUGAGUGAUGAAGGUUUUCGGAUCGUAAAGCUCUGUUGUUAGGGAAGAACAAGUGCGAGAGUAACUGCUCGCACCUUGACGGUACCUAACCAGAAAGCCACGGCUAACUACGUGCCAGCAGCCGCGGUAAUACGUAGGUGGCAAGCGUUGUCCGGAAUUAUUGGGCGUAAAGGGCUCGCAGGCGGUUUCUUAAGUCUGAUGUGAAAGCCCCCGGCUCAACCGGGGAGGGUCAUUGGAAACUGGGAAACUUGAGUGCAGAAGAGGAGAGUGGAAUUCCACGUGUAGCGGUGAAAUGCGUAGAGAUGUGGAGGAACACCAGUGGCGAAGGCGACUCUCUGGUCUGUAACUGACGCUGAGGAGCGAAAGCGUGGGGAGCGAACAGGAUUAGAUACCCUGGUAGUCCACGCCGUAAACGAUGAGUGCUAAGUGUUAGGGGGUUUCCGCCCCUUAGUGCUGCAGCUAACGCAUUAAGCACUCCGCCUGGGGAGUACGGUCGCAAGACUGAAACUCAAAGGAAUUGACGGGGGCCCGCACAAGCGGUGGAGCAUGUGGUUUAAUUCGAAGCAACGCGAAGAACCUUACCAGGUCUUGACAUCCUCUGACAACCCUAGAGAUAGGGCUUUCCCUUCGGGGACAGAGUGACAGGUGGUGCAUGGUUGUCGUCAGCUCGUGUCGUGAGAUGUUGGGUUAAGUCCCGCAACGAGCGCAACCCUUGAUCUUAGUUGCCAGCAUUCAGUUGGGCACUCUAAGGUGACUGCCGGUGACAAACCGGAGGAAGGUGGGGAUGACGUCAAAUCAUCAUGCCCCUUAUGACCUGGGCUACACACGUGCUACAAUGGACAGAACAAAGGGCUGCAAGACCGCAAGGUUUAGCCAAUCCCAUAAAUCUGUUCUCAGUUCGGAUCGCAGUCUGCAACUCGACUGCGUGAAGCUGGAAUCGCUAGUAAUCGCGGAUCAGCAUGCCGCGGUGAAUACGUUCCCGGGCCUUGUACACACCGCCCGUCACACCACGAGAGUUUGCAACACCCGAAGUCGGUGAGGUAACCUUUAUGGAGCCAGCCGCCGAAGGUGGGGCAGAUGAUUGGGGUGAAGUCGUAACAAGGUAGCCGUAUCGGAAGGUGCGGCUGGAUCACCUCCUUUCU
rnacentral:rRNA from 1 species